GACGAACGCUGGCGGCGUGCCUAACACAUGCAAGUCGAACGGAGUAAUUUCUUUGGAGGUUACUUAGUGGCGAACGGGUGAGUAACGCGUGAGAAACCUGCCUUUCAGUGGGGGACAACAGUUGGAAACGACUGCUAAUACCGCAUAAUGUUAUUUGGGGGCAUCCCCGAAUAACCAAAGCUUUAUGUGCUGAAAGAUGGUCUCGCGUCUGAUUAGCUAGAUGGCGGGGUAACGGCCCACCAUGGCGACGAUCAGUAGCCGGUCUGAGAGGAUGAACGGCCACAUUGGGACUGAGAUACGGCCCAGACUCCUACGGGAGGCAGCAGUGGGGAAUAUUGGGCAAUGGGGGGGAACCCUGACCCAGCAACGCCGCGUGAAGGAGAAAGCCUCGGGUUGUAAACUUCUUUUACCAGGGACGAAGAACGUGACGGUACCUGGAGAAAAAGCAACGGCUAACUACGUG
rnacentral:rRNA from 1 species